AUGCACGCUGGCGGUAUGCUUCACACAUGCAGGUCGCACGGACUCUUCGGAGUUAGUGGCGGACGGGUGAGUAACGCGUGAGAAUCUGGCUUUGGGUUCGGGACAACCACUGGAAACGGUGGCUAAUACCGGAUGUGCCGAGAGGUAAAAGAGAAAUUGCCUGAAGAUGAGCCCGCGUCUGAUUAGCUAGUUGGUGAGGUAAAGGCUCACCAAGGCAGCGAUCAGUAGCUGGUCUGAGAGGAUGACCAGCCACACUGGGACUGAGACACGGCCCAGACUCCUACGGGAGGCAGCAGUGGGGAAUUUUCCGCAAUGGGCGAAAGCCUGACGGAGCAAUACCGCGUGAGGGAAGAAGGCUCUUGGGUUGUAAACCUCUUUUCUUAGGGAAGAACAAAAUGACGGUACCUAAGGAAUCAGCAUCGGCUAACUCCGUG
rnacentral:rRNA from 1 species